AGCGAACGCUGGCGGCAUGCCUAACACAUGCAAGUCGAACGAGACCUUCGGGUCUAGUGGCGCACGGGUGCGUAACGCGUUGGAACCUGCCCUUAGGUUCGGAAUAACUCCCCGAAAGGGGUGCUAAUACCGGAUAAUGUCUUCGGACCAAAGAUUUAUCGCCUUUGGAUGGGCCCGCGUUGGAUUAGCUAGUUGGUAGGGUAAAAGCCUACCAAGGCGACGAUCCAUAGCUGGUCUGAGAGGAUGAUCAGCCACACUGGGACUGAGACACGGUCCAGACUCCUACGGGAGGCAGCAGUGGGGAAUAUUGGACAAUGGGCGAAAGCCUGAUCCAGCAAUGCCGCGUGAGUGAUGAAGGCCUUAGGGUUGUAAAGCUCUUUUACCCGGGAUGAUAAUGACAGUACCGGGAGAAUAAGCUCCGGCUAACUCCGUG
rnacentral:rRNA from 1 species